rnacentral:rRNA from 1 species
UAUCUGGUUGAUCCUGCCAGUAUUAUAUGCUUCUGUCAAAGAUUAAGCCAUGCAUGUCUAAGCAUAAAGUCCUAGUAAGAUGAAGCUGCGAACGGCUCAUUACAACAGUUAUAAUCUUUUUGAUGAAAUACGUACAAGGAUAUCUUUGAGAAUGUCAAAGCUAAUACUUGACGGGUAACGCCUUCAGUCGAGUGUAUUCCUCCGGGAGUAUAAUCUACUGAGGAGGGGAGGACCCCCAAGGUCCUUUCAAUAUAUUACCACUUCUUUGUGAAUAAGGGUGGAUUAUAUGCCAAGAGAAUUGUAGAAAUCGAGAGAUUUUCACAAGUCAUCAUUAAGAAUAUCUGACCUAUCAACUGGUUGUUGGUAAGGUAGUGGCUUACCAAGGUGAUAACGGGUAACGAGGAAUAAGGGUUCGACAUCGGAGAGGGAGCUUUAGAAAUGGCUACCACUUCUAAGGAAGGCAGCAGGCGCGAAAAUUACCCAAUCUUAACAACUGAAGGAGGUAGUGACGACAAUUAACGCUUUCCCUCGCUUUACGUGAGGAUUGCCGGAAUGAUCACGACAUAAACCAUCGUGAGAAAGCGAUUGGAGGGCAAGUCUGGUGCCAGCAGCCGCGGUAAUUCCAGCUCCAAUAGUGUAUUGUAAAGUUGUUGUGAUUAAAACGCUCGUAGUUGAAUGUAAACAAUCGAGUCAUGAUUUACGUUCUCUGAUUUGGGCUUGCUCGAGUCAGUUGAACCGCAAUCAGAAAAUGACUCACUAUAAGCGGGAGUUUGAUUCAGUUCCAAACUCUUUUACUUUGAUUAAAUCAAGGUGCUUAAAGCAAAAUCUUCUGUUAAUGAAUGAUGAAGCAUGGUAUAAAAUGAAAAACAGAACAGAGAUCAAUAUUGAAUUAUGGGGAUGGUUCGCCAUUCGAAUAUUUCAGUUUUUUGUUUUGUUUCAAACAAGAUUAAGAGAAAUGAUUAGGGUGAUUUAGAUAGGAACGGGAGAGGUGGAAUUCCAUGAUCGUUUCGAGAUAAACGAGAGCGAAAGCAUUUCACUGAAUUCAUUUCAUUAAUCAAGAACGAAAGUCAGGGAAUCAAAGACGAUUAGAUACCGUCGUAGUCCUGACCAUAAACGAUGUCAACUAAGGAUUGGAUAAGACAAUAAUGAAGCACGAUUUCAAAUGUCCCGAGGCAACAGCCAAAGGACUCUGAAAUAUCUUCAAUUCUUCCCUUAUUCAGGACUUGAUGAGAAAUCAUUAAGUGAAUGGACUUCAGGGGGAGUAUGGUCACAAGGCUGAAACUUAAAGGAAUUGACGGAAGGGCACACCAGGAGUGGAGCCUGCGGCUUAAUUUGACUCAACACGGGAAAACUUACCAAGACCGAACGGUGUAAGGAAUGACAGGUUACUGGAUUUUUCAUGAUUCAUCGGGGAGUGGUGCAUGGCCGUUCUUAGUUCGUGGACUGAUUUGUCUGGUUAAUUCCGAUAACGAACGAGACUUGAACUUAUUAAUUAGUUGGGUAGAAAUCAUCUUCGGGUGGUUCUGCUUACUGUCCGAAAGGACAGCGUGAAGAGUUUAUCUUCGUGACUUCUUAAAGGGACACAUCUUCAACGUUCUCGCACGUUUGACUGGGUACACUGGAGCAAUCUGGUGUCUUAGAUAAAUGUCGGGAAAAAGAAGAAGGAAGCGUCAAGCAAUAACAGGUCUGUGAUGCCCUUAGACAUCUUGGGCUGCACGCGUGCUACAAUGAAAGUACUAACGAGUCUUCGCUGAUUGCGAAUGGUGAUGAGUUUCGCAACUAGUCAUUAUUUGCAGUCAGCAAUUUCCAAGUCCGAAAGGACAAGGCAAGCUCUAAUGUCUUUUAUUUAAUUCUUGACUGGGAUGAAUGAUUGGAAUUAUUUGUUCUGAACAAGGAAUUCCUUGUAAGCGCAAGUCAUUACCUUGCGCUGAAUAAGUCCCUGCCCUUUGUACACACCGCCCGUCGCUCCUACCGAUUGAAUAAAGAGGUGAAAUCUCAGGAUUUUGGUGGCUUGCCACUGGGAGAAUGAGCGUAAAUCUCUUUGUUUAGAGGAAGGAGAAGUCGUAACAAGGUUUCCGUAGGUGAACCUGCGGAAGGAUCA